rnacentral:rRNA from 1 species
GUCAAAACGACUCUCGGCAGCGGAUAUCUCGGCUCUCGCAUCGAUGAAGAACGUAGCGAAAUGCGAUACUUGGUGUGAAUUGCAGAAUCCCGUGAACCAUCGAGUCUUUGAACGCAAGUUGCGCCCGAAGCCUUUAGGCCGAGGGCACGUCUGCCUGGGCGUCA